AUCCAGCUGACGAGUCCCUAAUUGAACGAAACGCGCGUCCUGGAU
rnacentral:hammerhead_ribozyme from 1 species